rnacentral:rRNA from 1 species
UUGGGUGACGAGUGGCGGACGGGUGAGUAAUGUCUGGGAAACUGCCCGAUGGAGGGGGAUAACUACUGGAAACGGUAGCUAAUACCGCAUAACGUCUUCGGACCAAAGUGGGGGACCUUCGGGCCUCACACCAUCGGAUGUGCCCAGAUGGGAUUAGCUAGUAGGUGGGGUAAUGGCUCACCUAGGCGACGAUCCCUAGCUGGUCUGAGAGGAUGACCAGCCACACUGGAACUGAGACACGGUCCAGACUCCUACGGGAGGCAGCAGUGGGGAAUAUUGCACAAUGGGCGCAAGCCUGAUGCAGCCAUGCCGCGUGUAUGAAGAAGGCCUUCGGGUUGUAAAGUACUUUCAGCGGGGAGGAAGGCGAUGUGGUUAAUAACCGCAUCGAUUGACGUUACCCGCAGAAGAAGCACCGGCUAACUCCGUGCCAGCAGCCGCGGUAAUACGGAGGGUGCAAGCGUUAAUCGGAAUUACUGGGCGUAAAGCGCACGCAGGCGGUCUGUCAAGUCGGAUGUGAAAUCCCCGGGCUUAACCUGGGAACUGCAUUCGAAACUGGCAGGCUAGAGUCUUGUAGAGGGGGGUAGAAUUCCAGGUGUAGCGGUGAAAUGCGUAGAGAUCUGGAGGAAUACCGGUGGCGAAGGCGGCCCCCUGGACAAAGACUGACGCUCAGGUGCGAAAGCGUGGGGAGC